UUAAAUAUAGCGCCUGGACACUAAUAAAUUGGUGUUGACGAGGUCUAGAGUAAUCGAAAGAUUCGGCGGAUGCUCUAGUGGCUUUGCUUAAGGUCAUAUCAUUAAUCAAAAAGCAGUAGUAAUGCUGUAACAAAAGUUAAUG
rnacentral:ncRNA from 1 species